rnacentral:lncRNA from 1 species
CAUCCGUGUGUUUGAAUAAAAUUUUAUAUUAUUAUUAUAGUAUUUUUCAUGAAAUUAUGAGUUAUAGAAAUAUUAAAGAUGAUAUAAAAGAAAAUCUAACCAAGAUUAACUUAUCAAUUUAAAUUAACUUAUACAUAAUGCGAUAGUAAAAAUCGACUGUGUCCUCUUCAGAGAUUAUUAAUAUACCUACGUUGUGGUAUUACGAUUUAUUGACUUUUAGAACUGAAGAUGAGGAGUAGGAAUAUCAGGUAUUAAUGUAGUGAGUAAUAUUUUUAAGUGCACAUUUAUCAAAUAAAUAAUUUACCUUAUUUUUUAUUUAAAAUUAUUCUGUAUAUUUUAUAUAAUAGUGGGCUCCAAAGUUGUUAUCAGUUAAAUCAACUAUAGAAACACAUAAAAUAUAAGCAAAUAAAAAAAAACAAAUAAGAAAUAAUUCCUACAUUAUUUCAAGUAUCUACAACAUACCUGCUUGUAUAUGAAUCAAUUAUUAGUUUUACAUUAUGUAUAACACAUUUGCAAUGUCUACAAGUCUCUAUAGUGUAUAGGCACAUGUUUAGAUAUUAAAAAUUAAUUUGUUUUCAUAUUUUAAUAGGGAAAUACCAAUAAAUGUACAUUACAAGAAUCUACAAGUGUUGGCAUUGAUAGUUGUAAUAAAGUAUCAACUGACAUGUUUGAAAUGGAAAAAUUCAUAAAAGUGAAUGACGAAGAAGAAAAAAGUAAAUAUCAUUGUGGCAAUUAUCUUUUGAGUACGUAUUUUUCUCUCUUUUGUCCAAUCUCACCGCCUAAAUUUAUCCACACGCAAAAGAAAAAUAAGGUACAACAAAUUUUGGUUCAGGAUAUUUAUGUUAACUCAACUUGAAUUUAAAAUUUGAAUACAAUCUCAUAAUAAGAGUACGGAUGUUGUUUCAUUUGCAACUUUUUUUCCAUCUUUUCAAUUUAUUGCUAACUAAGUUUCAAAUACGUUUCAUGUAGUCGACACUCGACAAUCGUGUAGAUAAGAUUAUACUAAAACAGGGAUGGGCAUCCCAAAUGUACUAAAGGGCCAGUUUUUGACAAUUAAAAUCUAUGCGAGCUAGAGCAUAGCAAAAAGAAAAAAAAAAUUAUUCAAAGUAUAUAUGUAUUUAAAUUAGUAUUUAUUUAGCAUAAUUUGAAUUAACAGUAAAUAUAAAGAAAGGUUAUUGAAAAUAAUUAAAUUAAAUAAAAUAAAAAUAACACUAUUACUACUUGUUCAAUGUGACAUUUGUGACUGCUAAUGAUAACGCAGCAAAAUCGAUUACUAUUUCAGAAGUGGAAACACAAAGUAGGUGACUUAAUGUUUCAUCAGUAAGACAAUUUUUUUGCUUUGAUUUUAUAUGUUUCAUAUUUGAAAAUGUACAUUCACAAAUGUAGGUAGUUCCAAAUAUGGAUAACAUUUUUAACGCAAACUCUCAUAAAAGAGGAUAUUUGUUAACAGGUAAUUUUUUUCAAAAGCUUACAUCAAUAUCUUUCGUGGAUAAUAAUGAGUCAGUUUGCAACUCGCAUAAUUCUGAUUGAAGUGCAGCAUCUUGCUUUUCAAUUUCAACUGCCAUUGGAUUAUUAAACAAAUUUAUUUGAGGACGCGUAAGUUCAACUUCUUCAAAUCGUCUUUCGAAUUCUACAGUUAAUUCAUGCCAGUGGGUAAUGCAAUUUUCAAAAUUGAACUCGUUAAAAUGUUGAGAAAUAUUAGUUAAAAAUGCCAAUUAACAUAGAAAUUGUUUAUCAAUCAUUUAGUUUUCUAAAUAAGUGGUUUCAGUUGUACUAUUCGUUUAGGAAACUCAAGUAUUUCUUUUCUCAAAACAAAAUAUCGUUCGAGACACUUUCCACUACUAAGUUUCUGUAAAUAUGUAAUAAAAUUACGAAUUGCACUAUCAGUGUCAGUUAUACCCGUGGUCUUCAAUCAGUGGGUCGCGACCCAUUUUUGGGUUUUCUUUUUAAAAUAAAAUUAAGUUUGAAAAUUAUUGUAAUAUAUUAUGUUAUAAACAAUAUUAUAUAAUUUAUAUUCAAAAAUAUAAUAAUAUAAUGGAUUUCAAAUCACAGUAUUUGUUUUGUAAACUGGUAUGUUUUUAUUUAGUAUGACAUUAAAAAUAAGAGUUAACCAGGCUAAUAAUAAAACAAAUAUAUUAUAUUAUUAUCGUUAGGAUGUUGUCGCUGUGUUUAAAGAUGAAUAAAUGUUAGUCGUGUUAUUGUUCUAAUCAUAUUUAUGUAUCCGUUAAAAAGUUUUUUUUAUUUUUAUUUAUUUAUUUAUAACAAUACUACUACAAAGUAUUAAGUAAUUUUAGAUGUUUUGUUUUUUUGUUUUUCUACAAACAUUUUUCUUUAUGUAUGCCUUUUAUAGGUCGCGAAUAAUGUAUGCUUAAAAAAGUGGGUUGCCAAUAAUGUUCGCCUAAAAAAGUGGGAUGUGAGUCCAAAAAGGUUGAAGACCAUUGAGCUAAAAGACAUGUCACUGUGCAUCUUGAAAGUGAUAUUUUUUUAAAUUCACUAGCAAUUUUGUUUUAAUUUAUUGUUUCAGUCAUUUUUAUUGCACAGUUUUUAACAAAUUCGUCAUCACUCAACGAGUUUUUAGAUUUUGCUAUUUCAUUAGAAAUAAUAUAUGAAGCUACUAAACUGGAUUGUUGUGAAGUUGUUGUUGUUGUUGUCAUCACAUUUUGUUAUAAUUGAAGUUUUCUUUUCCGAUCAAUUAUAACACUCUCUCUUGCAUAUCACCAAUGUAUUUUUCAUAUUUAGACAAAUAAUUUGUCAUGUAAUGUCUUUUUAAAUUAUAUUUUUUUAGUACUGCAAUAAUAUUUAAACAAACUAAACAUUGAGGGUUUUUUGUUAAUAAUAAAUAAAUAUUCAUUUUCUUAUAAUCUGUUGCAUAGGCCAAUUGCCCAUCCCUGUACUAUAAUAUUGCCAGCUAUAAAAUCUAGUAAUGGUAUCAUAUUCUUAUUUUGAUAAUUCCAAGUCGGUAGGUAUUCAAUACAAUACAAAAAUAAUUUGUGAAAUGUGACUGUUUGACUGUUAUAAUCUGUUUUUCAGUCACUCGAUGAAUUUUGAGUGAUUGUGUUCUGUUAUUAUGCUGAAAAUUAAGCUAACUAUUUCCAUUUUUGUAAAAAAAAUUGUUCCUUUUUAGGAAGGAAUCAAUUCCAAUAGUUUUUUGUCACUACAAUAUCCUUGCAGAUGAGUAUUAAAUAAUAAUAAAAAUUAAAAAUUUGUUUAGUAUAAGAAGAAAAACCUUAAGCCUGGUCCAAAAUAAAGUAACUCGGUGUUUUCAAGUAUUGCCAUUUGUUUUUGUUUUCUUGAAACAAACAUUAACAUUUAUAAACAUGCUGUUCACAUCUUAUCAACAAAUUUGGAUGUAUAUUGGAAAGUAGAAGAGACACUAUUACGAAAAUUGGGUAAGAUGAUCAACAUAAAUAAUCAUUAAUUUGUGAUAUACCUAUUGUCAGGUGUUUGUGAUUAAACUUAAUAAAACUAUUUUUUUUUGUUCACAGUCCAACAAGUAAUGAUGAAAUGUACAACUUAUAUAUUAUGUACUGAGUGGAAGCAGAGGUGAAUAGUCUACUGCUUACUGUUAAGUUUUCUAUGUAGGGACUUCUACAUGACAAAAUUGUAAUUAUUUUUAUCAAUUCACCACCUGAGUGGACAGUUUUCCAUUUAAUAGUGNAAAAAAUUAAAAAAAAAAAAAAAAAAAAAAAAAAAAAAACAUAGGAAGCUGAAUGAGAAAAUAUAAGAAUUGUAUAAAUAUCAUUAAAUCAUAUUAUCAUAAUGGUUCAACAUUGACAAAUUACCAACUGAAAUAAUAAUUAUAAAAUGAUUUUUUAUUUAUUUUGACAUACAAAUCCAAAACAAUAAAAUAUAUGUUUUUCCAGUUCAUUUGUUUGAAUUUAAUAUUUAUUUCUUAAAAGUUAAAUUCACUCUUGUAGGUAAACAUAAAUACAUAAUUACAAGUAUUAUUAAUACAAAUAUUGAUUAAACAUUUCACAUUAAAAUAAAAUAUGAUGUAUUGUAUAGGUAGGUAUAUUUAAUACUGAACAUUAAAUAGGAUAAUUAAUUGAUCAUUUUUUGUUUAAAUUUUAAAAUUCCCAAAACAAAUUUAAAACCAAAAUUAGCACCUAUAUCUUAAUUAUUUAAAUAUAGCCUAGAUAUUUUCUUUUCUUUAACCUAAUUUUUUUUACAGAAAACUAAUUUGAUGAGGGGGUUUAAAUUCAUGAACUACAAUAAAUAUCCAUUUUUGUUUAUUUAUCAAAACUUUAAAUAUUCUAUAGAAAUAAACAUUUGUUCAUUGUUCAAUUAUAUCAUAUAUGUAUUGAUUAAGUUAAAAUAAUGUGAGACCUUUAAUUACUAGCUCUGACCAACUAAAGAAUAUAACAAAAACAUGUUUAUUCAGACUGAUUAUAAUUAAUUUAGUUUUAGUUUUAAAGCACCUAAUUAUAAAACUAAAAGUGGAUAAUAUUCUGGAGAACACCUUGUUGCCAUCAUUUUAAACGUGAUGUACAUUAUUAUGAAAUGUUUUAAUAUUUUAAAAUUACUGUAAAUUUUUUAAAUGUUUAUUUUAUUUUAACCACAGUAUGGUGCCCUACUAAAUAUUAGUCUUCUUUUAGUUUUAUAGCAAGUGCUUUUAUUCUAAAACUAAAAUUAAACAAGGUUUACUCAGUCUGUAUUAUAAUAUUUUUGCUAUGUUGCUUAUUAAUUGGACUGAAAUAAUACAUAAGGGUAACAUAUCAUGUCCUUUUAAUAACUAGACAUAUUUAAUAUAACCUACCAUUUGAAGGAUUACUUUUAAAUUUUGAGAGUUUGAAACUCAUUUCUAAGUAUUAUUGUAUUAAUACUUGUACCAGUUGCAAAUCUGUCAUCAGUGGGAUAUUUUUAGAAAAUAUAAAAUAUUUUGAACAAAAAUAAUAAUGACUAGUAAAUUGUAUGUUGAGAUACUACACAUUGGUAUUAAGUACUUACCUAUAUUAAUAGUGUUGCAUGAUUUAUAAAUUAAUUGUGUAUAAUUAACAGUUAAUCAAAAUUGUUGAAAUUAAUUGUGUCAAGGUGUCAUAUAAGAAUAACUUAUAGAAAUUAAUAUAAAAAAUAAAUAUAUGUACUAAGGUAUCUUUUGGUGAUAGAAUUGUAUGAUCUUUAAUUAUUACUUUGUUUUGUAAAAUGGUAACUUUAAUAAUACCAAUUUGAUNCUACUACAUUUUUGAUAAGGAAUACCUAGGGAAUAAGGAAUUCAUACCAUCAAAUAUGUAGGUGUAGAAUAUGCACUAUAGUGUAAAUUCCAUGUAAAAUAGUGUACGUUUUAAUUACAUUUUAAAAAUGUACAAGUUAAUUAUAGGUAUUUAUCUACUUUGGAAUUGAUUUAUUUAUUUAACUGAGGAAACAAGAACAUUUCCUUUAUGUACUUAUGACUAAUGAUAUUUGAUGUACAUAAUAUUAUUUGUACACUAAAUAAAUGUGUAAAUAUAUCUGUCAAGUAUAUAUUGGUGUAUGAUUAAAAAAAAGGUAAAGCAGUUAAACUUCCACUUGAAAAUAAUAGUAUGCCAUUGUUGUCCACAUUGACUACUCAGUUUCCAUGAACGAAUGGCCUGAUAUUUCACACUGAAAAUAAAUGAUGGUGAGUUCCAUGUAUUUGACAUGUUAUUUAAAUUAAUACUGAACUGGGUUAUAAGUGCACUUUUCAAUGGAAGCACUUGCAUAUAAAAUCGCCAGUAAUGCUCUAGUAGGUAGUUUGUGGUCCUAUUUCAAUAGUAUUGCAAAUUAGGCACUCUC